CAGUCGCCACGGGAAUACGGGGGGGGCUAGCGUUGUUCGGAAUUACUGGGCGUAAAGCGCACGUAGGCGGCUUGGUAAGUUAGAGGUGAAAGCCUGGAGCUCAACUCCAGAAUUGCCUUUAAGACUGCCGAGCUAGCAGGUGAGAGAGGUAAGUGGAAUUCCGAGUGUAGAGGUGAAAUUCGUAGAUAUUCGGAAGAACACCAGUGGCGGAGGCGGCUUACUGGCUCAUACUGGACGCUGAGGUGCGAAGCGUGGGGAGCAAACAGGAUUAGAUACCCCUGUAGUCCCUGUCUCUUAUACA
rnacentral:rRNA from 1 species